UCCUCUGUAGUUCAGUCGGUAGAACGGCGGACUGUUAAUCCGUAUGUCACUGGUUCGAGUCCAGUCAGAGGAUGCCA
rnacentral:tRNA from 1 species